GACGCUGGCGGCAUGCCUAAUACAUGCAAGUCGAACGAGAUCUUCGGAUCUAGUGGCGCACGGGUGCGUAACGCGUGGGAAUCUGCCCUUGGGUUCGGAAUAACAGUUGGAAACGACUGCUAAUACCGGAUGAUGACGAAAGUCCAAAGAUUUAUCGCCCAGGGAUGAGCCCGCGUAGGAUUAGCUAGUUGGUGAGGUAAAGGCUCACCAAGGCGACGAUCCUUAGCUGGUCUGAGAGGAUGAUCAGCCACACUGGGACUGAGACACGGCCCAGACUCCUACGGGAGGCAGCAGUAGGGAAUAUUGGACAAUGGGGGCAACCCUGAUCCAGCAAUGCCGCGUGAGUGAUGAAGGCCUUAGGGUUGUAAAGCUCUUUUACCCGGGAUGAUAAUGACAGUACCGGGAGAAUAAGCUCCGGCUAACUCCGUGCCAGCAGCCGCGGUAAUACGGAGGGAGCUAGCGUUGUUCGGAAUUACUGGGCGUAAAGCGCACGUAGGCGGCGAUUAAAGUCAGAGGUGAAAGCCCGGGGCUCACCCGGAA
rnacentral:rRNA from 1 species